AUUGAACGCUGGCGGCAGGCCUAACACAUGCAAGUCGAGCGAGCGGCGGACGGGUGAGUAAUGUAUGGGAAUCUGCCUGAUGGAGGGGGAUAACUCCUGGAAACGGUAGCUAAUACCGCAUACCAUCAGAUGUGCCCAUAUGGGAUUCGCUUGUAGGUGGGGUAACGGCUCACCUAGGCGACGAUCCCUAGCUGGUCUGAGAGGCUGAUCAGCCACACGGGGACGGAGACACGGGCCAGACUCCUACGGGAGGCAGCAGUGGGGAAUAUUGCACAAUGGGCGCAAGCCUGAUGCAGCCAGGCCGCGUGUAUGAAGAAGGCCUUCGGGUUGUAAAGCACUUUCAGUCGGGAGGCGUUACCGACAGAAGAAGCACCGGCUAACUCCGUGCCAGCAGCCGCGGUAAUAC
rnacentral:rRNA from 1 species